rnacentral:rRNA from 1 species
GAUGAACGCUGGCGGCGUGCUUAAUACAUGCAAGUCGAGCGAACAGACGAGGAGCUUGCUCCUCUGACGUUAGCGGCGGACGGGUGAGUAACACGUGGAUAACCUCCCUAUAAUACUGGGAUAACUUCGGGAAACCGGAGCUAAUACCGCAUAAUAUAUUGAACCGCAUGGUUCAAUAGUGUAAGACGGUUUUGCUGUCACUUAUAGAUGGAUCCGCGCCGCAUUAGCUAGUUGGUAAGGUAACGGCUUACCAAGGCAACGAUGGGUAGCCGACCUGAGAGGGUGAUCGGCGACACUGGAAGUGAGACACGGUCCAGACUACUGCGGGAGGCAGCAGUAGGGAAUCUUCCGCAAUGGGCGAAAGCCUGACAGAGCAACGGCGAGUGAGUGAUGAAGGUCCUCGGAUCGUAAAACUCUGUUAUUAGGGAAGAACAAAUGUGUAAGUAACUAUGCACGUCUUGACGGUACCUAAUCAGAAAGCCACGGCUAACUACGUG